rnacentral:lncRNA from 1 species
UUUGCUGAAUAUGAAUGAAUACCAAGGCAGCUGGUCUCAGUCAAACUGCAGCAACGCUGGGCAUGCAGCUCAACAUCCUCUGAGACUCUGUCCUCAUUUUGCGAAAUUAGGGACAACCAGACCUAUCUUCCUGUCCUAUCAUAAGAAUUAAAGAAGACAUGGGAGUAUUCCGUAUACAGGAGGAAAGCAGAGGGAGUCUUGAAACAGCAGAAGAGGAGACAGCAAUGCAAUCACAGAAGCAGAGAUUGGAGCAAUGUGGCCACGCCACAAGGAAUGCCCACAGCACCAGAAGCUGAAAGAGGCAAGAAAUGGAUUCUCCCUAAGAGCCUCUGGAAGGAACACAGCCUUCUUGGUUUGGGCCCAGUGAAACUCACUAUAGAACCUCUGGCCUCCAGAACUGUGAGAGCAUACAUUUCUGUUGGUUUAAAUCAGCAAGUUUGUGGUAAUUUGUUACACCCUAGGUUUACGGUCUAAUACACCACCUCAGAUGAGGAGAAUGAGAACUCCAUUAUGGGAAAGGUAAAAUGAAAAUUUAGAAGUGGCUAAGUUGCCAGAUAACUCUGAAACCAUAACAGCUCUGAGCUUCCUUCAUCAGACUUUUUUAAAUGAGAAAGGGAUAAACUU